GACGAACGCUGGCGGCGUGCCUAAUACAUGCAAGUCGAGCGGACGGAUGGGAGCUUGCUCCCAGACCGUCAGCGGCGGACGGGUGAGUAACACGUGGGCAACCUGCCUGUAAGACUGGGAUAACUCCGGGAAACCGGGGCUAAUACCGGAUAACUCUUUCCCUCCCAUGAGGGAAAGCUGAAAGAUGGCAUCUCGCUAUCACUUACAGAUGGGCCCGCGGCGCAUUAGCUAGUUGGUGAGGUAACGGCUCACCAAGGCGACGAUGCGUAGCCGACCUGAGAGGGGGAUCGGCCACACUGGGACUGAGACACGGCCCAGACUCCUACGGGAGGCAGCAGUAGGGAAUCGUCGGCAAUGGACGAAAGUCUGACGGAGCAACGCCGCGUGAGUGAUGAAGGUGUUCGGAGCGUAAAACUCUGUUGUCAGGGAAGAACAAGUACCGGAGGAACUGCCGGGACCUUGACGGUACCUGACCAGAAAGCCACGGCUAACUACGUG
rnacentral:rRNA from 1 species